GGUCAUGAGUACCAGCGCCAAGCCCCGGCUCGCUGGUCGGCAACCCUCCAGCUGCGGUGGGGUGCUCCGGGUGAUGACCGGGCUCUCGAAAGUCGAGAGCAAGCGCGCACU
rfam:Nocardia sp. Root136 contig_2, whole genome shotgun sequence.